UGGGGAAUCUUGCGCAAUGGGCGAAAGCCUGACGCAGCCAUGCCGCGUGAGUGAUGAAGGCCUUAGGGUUGUAAAACUCUUUCACCGGGGACGAUAAUGACGGUACCCGGAGAAGAAGCCCCGGCUAACUUCGUGCCAGCAGCCGCGGUAAUACGAAGGGGGCUAGCGUUGCUCGGAAUUACUGGGCGUAAAGGGCGCGUAGGCGGAUCAGCAAGUUGGGGGUGAAAGCCCGGGGCUCAACCUCGGAAUUGCCUUCAAAACUGCUGAUCUAGAGUACGGGAGAGGUGUGUGGAACUCCGAGUGUAGAGGUGAAAUUCGUAGAUAUUCGGAAGAACACCAGUGGCGAAGGCGACACACUGGCCCGUUACUGACGCUGAGGCGCGAAAGCGUGGGGAGCAAACAGGAUUAGAUACCCUGGUAGUCCACGCUGUAAACGAUGAUUGCUAGUUGUCGGCAGGCAUGCCUGUCGGUGACGCAGCUAACGCAUUAAGCAAUCCGCCUGGGGAGUACGGUCGCAAGAUUAAAAACUCAAAUGAAUUGACGGGGUC
rnacentral:rRNA from 1 species